rnacentral:rRNA from 1 species
UACGUAGGGACCAAGCGUUGUUCGGAUUUACUGGGCGUAAAGGGCGCGUAGGCGGCUUGACAAGUCACUUGUGAAAUCUCCGGGCUUAACUCGGAACGGCCAAGUGAAACUGUCAUGCUAGAGUGCGGAAGGGGCAAUCGGAAUUCUUGGUGUAGCGGUGAAAUGCGUAGAUAUCAAGAGGAACACCUGAGGUGAAGACGGGUUGCUGGGCCGACACUGACGCUGAUGCGCGAAAGCCAGGGGAGCAAACGGG